CGCCCCUCCCGCCAGGCGCCCCGGCCCCGCGGGGCCGCUCCGGUGUAAACGCUGAACGGAGAAGGAGGUUUCAGCCAGCAGUUAUUGCAAUUGGAUGGCAUUUCAAUAGCCAGUCUCUAGCAAACUCCUAUGAGAUGCAUUUCAGAAGCCGCCUGUUGUGCUCCUUUCCAUCAGAGAAGCAAACAAACCUUCCCAGCUCAGCGAGCCACUGCACUGCUUCCUGCUCACCAUGACUAACACAGUUACACCAGAAGGAAGUUUAAAAUAAUUUAAUUAGUGUUUGGAGCAUAAGGUUCAUCUUCAGCCAGACCUCAGACCAUGCUUUCCAUAGCGUUUGGAUCACUGAAAUACUCUUAUAUAAGCCUAAUUGACACAAUUAGAAUGACGACUCCUUACAGAUGUGUGUUGCUGUAGCAACCUGGGAAGAGGGCGGCCUAAGUGCCCUCCAUAUUUAGCAAAAUAAUAUUAAUCAUAAUAGGUAGAAGCACUUUAUCCUUUUUAUAAGGCACUUGCUCAGGAGCCAAGUGGCUUAGCGUGUUGCAACAAGGAUCACUGUAAUGGAGUUGAAAUAAUUUGAAGGUGAGCUAAAAUUCUCUCAGUAAUAACCAAAAUUAUAUGGAAACAGAAGCAUAGUCAAAUGUUGUCCAAAUCUCCCAGGAUAUAGGCAGGAGAAUUAGCUGUUCAAGGCUUUGAUUCUGCUGCUGUAAGAACACAAGGGGAAGAAAAACACCAAAGACAUCCAUGGAAGCAGGCGGAAGCCUCUAAAUUGCUGAGUUUGCCUCGGGUUUAUCCUGCUGAAGGGCCUGGUUGUCCAGUGAGAGCUCUGUGGGGAGGCUUUAGAUCCACCUGCCAUCUCUUUUGUGUUAGAGGGACUCCAAGUUGCUCCAUGUUGUGGGCAGUGGAUAUGGGUAUGUAUGCAAGUGUUGAUGGGCACCGGCAGUGUGGUGAAACGGUAACAGGUCUCCUGCUUCCCCUGGAGCAUGCCGGAGUGGGAACAGCUGCUUUGCAGAGCAGAUUCAAAUGGGUUUGUUCCUGACUCUGUCUUGCAUAUCCCAGUAAACUUGCACAUUUCAUCCAAACAGCGUGGUCUCUUUGUCAAAGGGGCUGUGUGAAGUACCUGAGACUCAUGACUUAAGUCUUGUUUUCAUGAAAUCUUUUGAUUUGAAGCUGUACGUAUUUUGACUGGUGUGAUUGUCACUUCAAAGUUAUUAUUUUAACUAACGCCAUUUUGAACUUUGUCCUGAUGUCUUUGCAACUUGAACAGUCACACAGUGUUGCUACAGAGUACAAGAAAAACCUGAAGUCAGUGCUGACUGGGACUGAAUAAUGGGAUUUCCAUUUCCAAGUGGAAGAAGCAAGCGAAUAGCAUGAAUAAACAAGCAAAUGUGAAAAAAAACAAACACUCAUGUUUUGGAUGAUCUUGGAAAAUACAGAUGAAAUGAGAUCUCAAGUAGUCAUCUAUACAAUCCCACUCUUUACAGAUGGAUGAAUUUUAUCUCUGUCAUUCCUGACUAAGUUUUAUCUGAUGUCUUUUUAGAAAGAUUUACAAUCCCCAGGCAAUCUAUCUUAAUGCAUCACUAGCCUUAUUUUUAGAAAGUUUUUCCUAAUGUCUAACCAAAGUCUAUUUCUGCUACAAUGGAAUGUCUUAAUCAUCUGCAGUAUCUUUAUUUUUGAAGACUGCUCUCAUAUUCCUGCCAGGUUGCUCUUCACUAGAGCCACCACCCCCUAUUUAUCCAAUCUUCCCAUGUAAGUUGUGUUUUUCUAGAGCUCUGAUCAUACACAUUGCUCUUCUCUGUGGCCUGAUGAGUGCUUUAUCUCUCCCAAGCAUGGUGCCCCAAGCCAGGCUCACUGAGCUCCAGCUGAGAUUUGCCAAUACUGAGAAAAGUGCAAGAAUUAGUUUAUGUAUUUUAAUAGCCUCUAUUUAUAUUUGUAACUCUCAGUAUGUAGUUUGCUUUUUUGAAGGAGUAUGCAACCUCCAGAAUAUUUCUGCAGGGCUACUAUCACCUUCUCAUUGGCUCCGCAGUCUGUGUUUUUGCAGUGGAUUAUUGUUGACCAGACAUAAAAUCUUGGAUUUCCUAUUCUUAAAUAGCAUCUUACUUUUCUUCACUAACAAUCCCAGCUAUGUAGUUAACUAAUGUGACAGUGCUCAGCUGAAUAUUAAGCUUAUAUUUCUUCCAACUUGCUUUCAAAUUUUUUUAAGCUUUAUCACACUGUUUUGUGCCUGGGAUCUAUAAACCUUCAGCUUUGCUCUAAUUAUAGUUCCAAAGCCCAGGUACAGUAUGUUCAUGUGCAGCCUGCACGUGUCCCCUUCACUUAUCCUAUUCCAGGUACGAUGGUAUGAUUAUAGCUGUUUGACCUGUUGCACCAUUGGAAGCGCAGCUUGUCCUGAUAAUAGCACAGUUAUGUUUACUGUCCUUGCAGCUCUGGCAAUUACAUCUCAUUACACCACUUUAAUUAUUCAAGCACUGACAUUUGAGUGAUAAUUUGUCUAAAAUUCAGGCACAAAGAAAAAGAG